GUUAGCACAGACAUCUGAGGAGAUGAUAACAACUAAUAAAAGGUGUGGAACAUGACAGCUGGUUAAGGCAGAAAUAGUCUAACAUGCUCUACAUCUAAUGUGGACAUUCUGCUAGAUAACAGAAAGCAACACAAACAGUUUUGACAAGAAGAAUCACAGAAUAGAGGCAAAUGAACAAAAACACAUAGAUAAAAAACACAAAAAGACAGAAAUUAAAUUAAAGAUCAACCACAAGGAGGCAAACAAAUCCAAGGAAACUGCUGGACAUCGCUGCUGAGGACGACUGAGGAGGUCAAACCUAAACCCUAAAGGAGAAAAAGAAGGUAGAGAGAUGACGCUUGGUGGGGCUAAUUGAUUUAGACCAGUUAGAGGCAGAGGACAGGACUAAUGUAGGGAUUUGAGUUGUGAAGCACCGACUGUUAGAAACAGCUUUCCGAUGUGACUUGGUCUAGUUCUAGAUGUUCCUCUGGUUAGUUAGUUUUCAGGCCUAGUUUGAGGGAAAAGAACCCUCUGCAGAAAUAUUCUCCAUAUCAUCUAGGCCUGUCCUGACCGCAGUGGAUCUCUUCUGUGUUUUUUGAAUCCCAUGUUGGACCGAGCCGCUACAAGCUUUGGGCCAAUCAGAAGAUGCUGAUGAGAUCUGCAGCGACCAAACCAGAGGAGGAUCAUCUGAGCUGCUGACCUUCACAAAGAGUGAGAGCAUGUUCAACACUGUGGACGUCCAAAAGCAGAAGUCCUGUGAGGAACCGGGACAUCCAGGAUGAUGAGGAGCUUCCCAGUCUCUACCUGAGGACGGCACAGAGAAAGACUGGAACAGAAAACACACGGAGGAAAGCAGGUUGAACAUGGAAGCAGUGUUCUAGCAGUCGGAUCACAUUGGAAAAGAAUCCAUCCACAUGUGUUUGGAGGAGCUGAAGAAGAGGAUGGAGCACACAGACCGCUAAAGAGAAGAAACAUGGCUCCUCUAUUUGUCUCUCCAACGUUCUGGAGUCUGAAAAACGUUGACGACCCCGCAGCUAAACCAUCAGUCUGCUCCACCCAGUAGAAGAAGAUGAGGUCAUCUGCUCCUUGGACCGGCGCCUCUGUGUCUGUCGGACGUCUGCUGUCCUGUUAAAGACCCGCUCAGACAUGGAA